UGCCACUGCAGUCUGACCAGUGCCCUUCCAGAAAGGUCCGUUGCUUUGUGGAUGCAGAGACCCCAGCCUUGAAUGAUACCAUCUGUAAAGACCAGCAGUUGGGGCCAAAAGAAAGAAACUUGGGCCUUUGUUGGAUCUAUUCCCGAAGGGAUGUGGAGCGUCCAACCUGGACACCCGUGCCCUCUGCCCCUCCCUCUGGAUUCCAGCCCUCUCUCCAGGAAGUCCACAGAACCUUGACCUCUUCCAGGAAGAAGCCCCCUAUGCCCAGGAACUGGGGAAGCCUCGCUGCAACCCGAAGUCAUGGUGGGCAGGAGGGCAAAGGGGCACAUCAGCUUCCAUGGGAGGUGAGGCUCUUAGGAGAGGAACAUGCAAGCCUGGAAAAGUGAAGAAAUGUACGGUGACUGAUUUGGGGGCAUAUCAAGCGCAUAGGAGCCAGUUUCAAAGGAGUCCCACUGCCAAAUCAGGACGCAAGUGAUAGAAGACUCUUAAGAGUCCCUUAGACUGCGAGAUCAAACGAGUCGAUCCUAAAUGAAAUCGACCCUGAAUAUUCGUUGGAGAGACUGAUGCUGAAGCUUCAAUACUUUGGCCACCUGAUUCGAACAGCUGACUCAUUGGAAAAGACCCUGAUGCUGGUAAAGACUGAAGGCAGGAGGAAAAGGGGUGACAUACAGGACGAUGAUGAGAUGGUUGGAUUGCACCACCGACUCAAUGAGCAAGGAGUUUGAACAACUCUGAGAAACAGUGAAGGACAGGUAAGCCUGGUUUGCUGCAGUCUAAGUGGUGGCAAAGUCGGGCAUGACUGAAACAAUAAAUGACUUUAUAAAUACU
ensembl:lncRNA